CAGCAUGUUAUGAUGGUUUCAGCAGCCACCUUGACAUGGUGGGGGUCGUUGGUUCGAGUCCAAUUGUGCCUACCA
rnacentral:tRNA from 1 species